GCUACUCUCGAGCAUCAUCAUCAAUCAGACGAGGGUAUAUUGGACCAAACAGAAUAAAGACUUCAAUAACAUCGUCCAAGACCUGCAAGACUUUUUCCGCUCCAAUAACAUAUAAAUAUGGAGUUUUAUGAAUUUGUAUUAAUUUCUACGAUUCCCUUUUAUGUCCAAUAAACCAAUAUCUCAAAAUACAAAGCUUCUCACCCUCAUGAGCUUGCUCUCACCUCAAAGAAAACAUCUCAAAACAAAGCCUCUCACCAACAUAACUUUUGUCUUAAAGACCCAACAUCUUAAAACUUUUGGCCACCGCUAACAGCAUAAGGAUGCUACACAUCUGUAUUUUUUAGCAACUAUACGCUGCAAUUGUGAUUUGAUGCGAUUGAGGACAAUACCACAACCGCAUUAUUGUGAUAGUUUCAGGCGAUGUGGUCCACAAUCUGAAUCUAUGGUUUGCAAUCCUUUGGACUUCAACAACUCUGCAUCUAUAUGAUGAAAUUUCCCUUAGCCGAAGCAAGCUAAAUCCAGAAUCUGUGGAGUGAGUCAGAGGGACAAAAUAUGGAGUACAAGGAAGAAGUAUCACUAUCAGAUUUAUUGUAUGCAGCACAGCACAGCACAUCACAGCAAUGUGUGCGUCAUGUUUAAUCAAGGUGAAAG
rnacentral:lncRNA from 1 species